UCCGUUAUCAAUGUAGUCACUGUUGUGUUUGACAGUAAGGUGCGCUGUGACUUGCAGCUGAAAACAUUUCCGGUAUCGACCUUCACACUGUUGACUGCGCUAGUCUAGCUAUUACUUCCUUCUUCUCAGAAAACAGAGAUCUGCAUUGAGCCAUCAGGCCUGUGCCUGUGAUCUCAGCACUGAGGACGGUGAGCCGGGCAUGCCGGCUUGAGAGCUGGGUCAGCCUAGGCUGCACAGUGAGCUUCUGACAAGUCUGGGCUAUAGGCACUCGGGAGGCACUGGCAGAUGGAUCUCUCAGGAUCGAGGCCAGCCUGGUCUACAGAGCAGGUUCCAGUACAGGACUACAAAGAGAAACUGUCUCAGAAAACCAAAAAUAAAUAAAUAAGUAAAAUUACUUGUGAAUGUGACUGAUUAAGACUUUAUUCCUCACUGUGACAUCCCCGUGUUUAACCAAGAAUCUGAGGGUUCAGGGAACCGUGUGCUUCGCACAGAGCUUCCGCCUUAGCAUAAGUACUAAGAUUGUAUCAGCAUCCUCUGCUUCCAGGAGCUGCAGGAGUUCAUGUUGCUCCAGAACGUAAUGGGGCGCUGCUCGCCCAUACUGUGAACGCCAGUGAAGUGUGUGACUCUUUGAGAGAAGAUAGCAAGAUUACCAAGAAGGGGGAAAACAAGUAAUAACUAUCAUAUUCUAGAACUGAGAAGGAAUUCAAAUGAUAUUCAAAAAAUAAAGAAUGAGCUAAUUCCACGUGAGGCACAGCAGGCAGGAGCCCCAAGAGCCCACAAAACCAGGAAGUAGUGCAGGGCAAGAAUGGCAGAGCACAUGAAAUACGGAUGUGAAAACAAAAGUAAGGGCUACAUGAGACGCUGUCUUAAAGUGGAAGCUCACCUUCAGACGACUGGAGUCCAGCCGCAGGGCUGUGAGUAACGGGUCCAAGGACUCAAACUCUGCAAGAACAUGGCUGUAGGCUUCUGGUAUCACGGGCACAGAAGUCAUUUAGCCAGAAAGAGGAAGAUUGUUCUGUAAUAGGCACAGGAUUUCUCUCUGAAAAGAAAAAAAGCCUGCAAAAAUACAAUUUUAAAAUUGUAACAUAUUAAUGUUACAAUUAAUAUAAUCAGUUAUGCAGCAUAUAUUAACAUUCAACAGAAAAGACAACCUCCUCUGGAAGUUGGGGAUGGGAGACACACGCAGGUACCAAUUAUAUGCAAAGGUUCAUUCACGCUGUGUCAUUCCUUGACUCUCAGGAGUCCCUUCAUAGUCCUAUCCCACUGUACCACGGAACAAUUUACAUAAGAAAGAUGGACAGAGUAAGACUUAGAGGAAAACCAACCAAGCUCCUCAGAGGUAAAGUAGCAAUCCCACUGUGUUUCUUUGUGUCAUAAAUGAUCAGUGUACAGCUUUAAGUAAGAGGCAACCGCUGUAAGGCCCUCAAAUGAUAAAGUCCCACCAUCACACCCUCAUUAUCUGCCAACAAUUGCACAACGCUCAACAGGAAGAAGCCUCUGGAUCUUUCUCUCUAGUCUAGCUAAAGUUAUGUACGCCAAAGGGGCGAAUGUACCUACUGAGAACUGAGGAACAGAGAGUUGGACCUUAAAGAGUAAGGGCUUGGGGCUGGGGACUUGGCUCAGCGGUAGAGCGCUUGCCUAGCAAGCGCAAGGCCCUGGGUUCGGUCCCCAGCUCCGGAAAAAAGGAAAAGAGGAAAAAAAAAAAAAAGUAAGGGCUUGGGGUUGGGGAUUUGGCUCAGCGGUAGAGCGCUUGCCUAGCGAGUGCAAGGCCCUGGGUUCGGUCCCCAGCUCCUAAAAAAAGAAAAAAGA